CCAAGCAUAGGACGGCCAUGAAGUACAACCUCAACUCUCUCAGGUUCAUUAGCUCCAAUGGCACGCUGGUCCGCGUAUGUGAAGAACUUCCUUGGCGUCGAGAUGUUUCAGGUAAUUGACCAAUUGUUUUGCAGUUUUUGUUGCAGUUUAACUACGAGUGACAGCAGUAUUUAUUGUGUGGCUUAGGAAGACUAUAAACUUUUCAGCGUCUUGUUGUUCUUAUGUUGGGCACAUCUUUCUUAUCAUUUCUUCAUAGUCAAUCUUGUGUGGUGCAUUUUGUUCUUCGUUUAUGUCCUUUGCUAGAACCAAACAAUAUCUUUAUAUAGAUGGACAUAUUUUAAUCUACCUGUACUGUGUUUAUUAGAGUGCUCUGCACAGAAAAAAAUAUUUUCUUAAGCAUACUGCUCCUUUUAUCAAUUGUUUAUGACUACAUAUGGAUGGAUGAUUAAAGGCAAGACUUUACUAGAAGAAAUAUAAGGGGAUAUUUCAGCUUUAUUAUCUGCUUUGCCGGCUACCUGUUAUAUGCGAUUUUUUCUUCUGGAUUCUGGAUUACCGAGUGGUCUCUAAUACACCAUGAAACUUAUCUUUAUAAGUUGGACUUAAGCCGACGGACAAUAUUUAGUACUGGUAAAAAAGUUUAUGUUGUGAUAGUCGUAUGCCAUUUGCACUGUCAGGUAUGCCAGGAUGGUGAACUGUACCAGCUCGCUGCUCAUGACAUUUUUGUCAGUACUAUGGUUGCUAUGAAGGAGCUUCCUUUUGUGACUGUAAAUUGUUUUUACUAGGCAUUGUCCCAUAUGGUAUAGAUAUGGCCGAUGGCUGUAGUUCAUUAAGAGAUUUUCUUAUAUCAACACCAGUACACAACUAUCCACUCACAUCAAUCACACUCUUUGUAUGCUGCAAAUUGACGGAUGCAUGACUUCUCACUCGGAAGUAUAUCAACCCAUAGGUACGAAACUAGCUCAAUUUCACACCAGUACUGACUACAUAUUGAAAUGCAGAUUAACAACAUUGCAAGUAUUUGGUUAUCUCUCUAUUUAUGUGGAGCCCAAUGUUUGGACACAAAGGUGAAGAUGGCCGAGGAGCGACUCCACGGAGGCUUCUAAGGAAAGAAAUGCGCUGAUUUACUGAGCAAUAAGUUGAUCUGCUGUGAGAGGCGCUACGCAGAGGAUGAACAUAACAGGGGACACGGUCGAGCCCCAUGUAGAUCUUCUGCGUCUUACUUUGCGUCUUACUUUAUGCAAGUUUGAUUAUAUGAGUGCGCCACUUUUUUUAUGAUAUUAUCAUAUUUGAAAGGAAUGAGAAGCACAACUCCUAAUAUUGAUGCUUAUUCUUUUUUAUUUUGGUACUGCAAUGAAUAGACUUCCAAGCAGUUUCUUGGUCUGUCUUAGUCUGUCUAUCCUCAAAAUUAUUAUUGUACUUGUAUAAUUUGACACUGACGUGUAUUUUGGGCAUAUUACUCAGCUUUUAUUUUGUAUCAGGAGAUUUGUUGUGGACGCUCCUAUGUAUGUAUUAUAGUUUAGAAGAAAAUAUAUAUGUAGCUGGAAGUACAACAAUAGCUAAAAACCUUGUCUUGAAGUGU
rnacentral:lncRNA from 1 species